GGGGCUGUAGUUCAAUUGGUUAGAGCGCCGCUCUGUCACGGCGGAAGUUGCGGGUUCAAGGCCCGUCAGUCCCG
rnacentral:tRNA from 1 species